rnacentral:rRNA from 1 species
AGUGAACGCUGGCGGUAGGCCUAACACAUGCAAGUCGAACGGCAGCACAGUAAGAGCUUGCUCUUACGGGUGGCGAGUGGCGGACGGGUGAGGAAUACAUCGGAAUCUACUUUUUCGUGGGGGAUAACGUAGGGAAACUUACGCCAAUACCGCAUACGACCUACGGGUGAAAGCAGGGGAUCUUCGGACCUUGCGCGAUUGAAUGAGCCGAUGUCGGAUUAGCUAGUUGGCGGGGUAAAGGCCCACCAAGGCGACGAUCCGUAGCUGGUCUGAGAGGAUGAUCAGCCACACUGGAACUGAGACACGGUCCAGACUCCUACGGGAGGCAGCAGUGGGGAAUAUUGGACAAUGGGCGCAAGCCUGAUCCAGCCAUACCGCGUGGGGGAAGAAGGCUUUCGGGUUGUAAAGCCCUUUUGUUGGGAAAGAAAAGCAGCAGGUUAAUACCCCGCUGUUCUGACGGUACCCAAAGAAUAAGCACCGGCUAACUUCGUG